AGAUUUGAGGGUACUCUGACUGCAACAUCUAUCACCCCAUUGAUCGCCAGGAUUGAUUUGGUUGAUCUGGCUGAGUAGGCGGGUGUCCCCGUCCUCCCUCGCUGCCCCAUAUGUGUCCCUCCUAAAGCUGCAUGCUCAGUUGAAGAGGACGAGAGGACGACCUUCUCUGAUAGAGGAGGACCACGCUUCAGUCAAAGGCAUACAAGUA
rnacentral:snRNA from 1 species